rnacentral:rRNA from 1 species
AUUGAACGCUGGCGGCAGGCCUAACACAUGCAAGUCGAGCGGAUGAAGGGAGCUUGCUCCUGGAUUCAGCGGCGGACGGGUGAGUAAUGCCUAGGAAUCUGCCUGGUAGUGGGGGAUAACGUCCGGAAACGGGCGCUAAUACCGCAUACGUCCUGAGGGAGAAAGUGGGGGAUCUUCGGACCUCACGCUAUCAGAUGAGCCUAGGUCGGAUUAGCUAGUUGGUGGGGUAAUGGCCUACCAAGGCGACGAUCCGUAACUGGUCUGAGAGGAGGAUCAGUCACACUGGAACUGAGACACGGUCCAGACUCCUACGGGAGGCAGCAGUGGGGAAUAUUGGACAAUGGGCGAAAGCCUGAUCCAGCCAUGCCGCGUGUGUGAAGAAGGUCUUCGGAUUGUAAAGCACUUUAAGUGGGGAGGAAGGGCAGUAAGUGAAUACCUUGCUGUUUUGACGGUACCAACAGAAUAAGCACCGGCUAACUUCGUG